rnacentral:rRNA from 1 species
AUUGAACGCUGGCGGCAUGCUUUACACAUGCAAGUCGAACGGUAACAGCACUUCGGUGGCUGACGAGUGGCGAACGGGUGAGUAAUACAUCGGAACGUGCCUAGUAGUGGGGGAUAACUACUCGAAAGAGUAGCUAAUACCGCAUGAGAUCUAAGGAUGAAAGCAGGGGACCUUCGGGCCUUGCGCUACUAGAGCGGCUGAUGGCAGAUUAGGUAGUUGGUGGGAUAAAAGCUUACCAAGCCGACGAUCUGUAGCUGGUCUGAGAGGACGACCAGCCACACUGGGACUGAGACACGGCCCAGACUCCUACGGGAGGCAGCAGUGGGGAAUUUUGGACAAUGGGCGCAAGCCUGAUCCAGCAAUGCCGCGUGCAGGAUGAAGGCCUUCGGGUUGUAAACUGCUUUUGUACGGAACGAAAAGCCCUCUUCUAAUACAGGAGGGUCAUGAAGGUACCGGAAGAAUAAGCACCGGCUAACUACGUG